rnacentral:rRNA from 1 species
AAUGGGCGCAAGCCUGAUCUAGCCAUGCCGCGUGAGUGAUGAAGGCCUUAGGGUCGUAAAGCUCUUUCGCCAGGGAUGAUAAUGACAGUACCUGGUAAAGAAACCCCGGCUAACUCCGUGCCAGCAGCCGCGGUAAUACGGAGGGGGUUAGCGUUGUUCGGAAUUACUGGGCGUAAAGCGCGCGUAGGCGGAUUGGAAAGUUGGGGGUGAAAUCCCGGGGCUCAACCCCGGAACUGCCUCCAAAACUAUCAAUCUAGAGUUCGAGAGAGGUGAGUGGAAUUCCGAGUGUAGAGGUGAAAUUCGUAGAUAUUCGAAGGAACACCAGUGGCGAAGGCGGCUUACUGGCUCGAUACUGACGCUGAGGUGCGAAAGUGUGGGGAGCAAACAGGAUU